GGGUUGUGAGGUUAAGCGACUAAGCGUACACGGUGGAUGCCCUGGCAGUCAGAGGCGAUGAAGGACGUGCUAAUCUGCGAUAAGCGUCGGUAAGGUGAUAUGAACCGUUAUAACCGGCGAUUUCCGAAUGGGGAAACCCAGUGUGUUUCGACACACUAUCAUUAACUGAAUCCAUAGGUUAAUGAGGCGAACCGGGGGAACUGAAACAUCUAAGUACCCCGAGGAAAAGAAAUCAACCGAGAUUCCCCCAGUAGCGGCGAGCGAACGGGGAGCAGCCCAGAGCCUGAAUCAGUAUGUGUGUUAGUGGAAGCGUCUGGAAAGGCGCGCGAUACAGGGUGACAGCCCCGUACACAAAAAUGCACAUAUUGUGAGCUCGAUGAGUAGGGCGGGACACGUGGUAUCCUGUCUGAAUAUGGGGGGACCAUCCUCCAAGGCUAAAUACUCCUGACUGACCGAUAGUGAACCAGUACCGUGAGGGAAAGGCGAAAAGAACCCCGGCGAGGGGAGUGAAAAAGAACCUGAAACCGUGUACGUACAAGCAGUGGGAGCACGCUUAGGCGUGUGACUGCGUACCUUUUGUAUAAUGGGUCAGCGACUUAUAUUCUGUAGCAAGGUUAACCGAAUAGGGGAGCCGAAGGGAAACCGAGUCUUAACUGGGCGUUAAGUUGCAGGGUAUAGACCCGAAACCCGGUGAUCUAGCCAUGGGCAGGUUGAAGGUUGGGUAACACUAACUGGAGGACCGAACCGACUAAUGUUGAAAAAUUAGCGGAUGACUUGUGGCUGGGGGUGAAAGGCCAAUCAAACCGGGAGAUAGCUGGUUCUCCCCGAAAGCUAUUUAGGUAGCGCCUCGUGAAUUCAUCUCCGGGGGUAGAGCACUGUUUCGGCAAGGGGGUCAUCCCGACUUACCAACCCGAUGCAAACUGCGAAUACCGGAGAAUGUUAUCACGGGAGACACACGGCGGGUGCUAACGUCCGUCGUGAAGAGGGAAACAACCCAGACCGCCAGCUAAGGUCCCAAAGUCAUGGUUAAGUGGGAAACGAUGUGGGAAGGCCCAGACAGCCAGGAUGUUGGCUUAGAAGCAGCCAUCAUUUAAAGAAAGCGUAAUAGCUCACUGGUCGAGUCGGCCUGCGCGGAAGAUGUAACGGGGCUAAACCAUGCACCGAAGCUGCGGCAGCGACACUAUGUGUUGUUGGGUAGGGGAGCGUUCUGUAAGCCUGUGAAGGUGUGCUGUGAGGCAUGCUGGAGGUAUCAGAAGUGCGAAUGCUGACAUAAGUAACGAUAAAGCGGGUGAAAAGCCCGCUCGCCGGAAGACCAAGGGUUCCUGUCCAACGUUAAUCGGGGCAGGGUGAGUCGACCCCUAAGGCGAGGCCGAAAGGCGUAGUCGAUGGGAAACAGGUUAAUAUUCCUGUACUUGGUGUUACUGCGAAGGGGGGACGGAGAAGGCUAUGUUGGCCGGGCGACGGUUGUCCCGGUUUAAGCGUGUAGGCUGGUUUUCCAGGCAAAUCCGGAAAAUCAAGGCUGAGGCGUGAUGACGAGGCACUACGGUGCUGAAGCAACAAAUGCCCUGCUUCCAGGAAAAGCCUCUAAGCAUCAGGUAACAUCAAAUCGUACCCCAAACCGACACAGGUGGUCAGGUAGAGAAUACCAAGGCGCUUGAGAGAACUCGGGUGAAGGAACUAGGCAAAAUGGUGCCGUAACUUCGGGAGAAGGCACGCUGAUAUGUAGGUGAAGUCCCUCGCGGAUGGAGCUGAAAUCAGUCGAAGAUACCAGCUGGCUGCAACUGUUUAUUAAAAACACAGCACUGUGCAAACACGAAAGUGGACGUAUACGGUGUGACGCCUGCCCGGUGCCGGAAGGUUAAUUGAUGGGGUUAGCCGCAAGGCGAAGCUCUUGAUCGAAGCCCCGGUAAACGGCGGCCGUAACUAUAACGGUCCUAAGGUAGCGAAAUUCCUUGUCGGGUAAGUUCCGACCUGCACGAAUGGCGUAAUGAUGGCCAGGCUGUCUCCACCCGAGACUCAGUGAAAUUGAACUCGCUGUGAAGAUGCAGUGUACCCGCGGCAAGACGGAAAGACCCCGUGAACCUUUACUAUAGCUUGACACUGAACAUUGAGCCUUGAUGUGUAGGAUAGGUGGGAGGCUUUGAAGUGUGGACGCCAGUCUGCAUGGAGCCGACCUUGAAAUACCACCCUUUAAUGUUUGAUGUUCUAACGUUGACCCGUAAUCCGGGUUGCGGACAGUGUCUGGUGGGUAGUUUGACUGGGGCGGUCUCCUCCUAAAGAGUAACGGAGGAGCACGAAGGUUGGCUAAUCCUGGUCGGACAUCAGGAGGUUAGUGCAAUGGCAUAAGCCAGCUUGACUGCGAGCGUGACGGCGCGAGCAGGUGCGAAAGCAGGUCAUAGUGAUCCGGUGGUUCUGAAUGGAAGGGCCAUCGCUCAACGGAUAAAAGGUACUCCGGGGAUAACAGGCUGAUACCGCCCAAGAGUUCAUAUCGACGGCGGUGUUUGGCACCUCGAUGUCGGCUCAUCACAUCCUGGGGCUGAAGUAGGUCCCAAGGGUAUGGCUGUUCGCCAUUUAAAGUGGUACGCGAGCUGGGUUUAGAACGUCGUGAGACAGUUCGGUCCCUAUCUGCCGUGGGCGCUGGAGAACUGAGGGGGGCUGCUCCUAGUACGAGAGGACCGGAGUGGACGCAUCACUGGUGUUCGGGUUGUCAUGCCAAUGGCACUGCCCGGUAGCUAAAUGCGGAAGAGAUAAGUGCUGAAAGCAUCUAAGCA
rnacentral:rRNA from 1 species